UUAAAUUAGACUGAAUGUUAUAAUAACACGUAAAAUAAAACCAACCGAAAAGGCGUUUUUACAUAACAUUCUGCAUUAAUUUGGUUCAUCAGUCGAGUUCCGCGACAUUAAGACAGAUUCGCUUUUUAAAUGACAAAAUACGAGAGCGCAGCGAUAGACUUUCUUGGUUUUAGUCGAUUUGCUGCAGACAAACAGUAAACAAACACAUCACAAUUUGUGCAUCACUUGUUUCAAGAGGUUUCAGGCAGGAGAAUUUCCAGAGCCUUCACUUGGUUGACAACGAUGGCCCUGAAAGGAUCGCUACCUAAAUCUGGACCAGAAACUCUAACGAACAUUGCGGCCGUAUCGAUGGUAUCACUCCGAUCCCGCCGUAAGUUCGUUCGUCACUUGUGGGUCAUUUUCGCUGCCAUAUUGCACUGCUGUGUUGUUCAUUUAUUCGUAUCGGUGUUCAAAGUAUCCAGUAAAUGGUUCGCGAUAGGCGCUGCAAGUAGGGCAUGUUGUUGGUGAUCUUAGUCGUGUAGGCGAUGGUGGUAGAGGUCGUAAUCGAGACGAUUUAAAAUGUCGUCAAAAGACAUGGUUACGUCAAAGGAAUUCCCGAGAUAGCCCAACAGUGUGGGCGUUAAAUCUAUUUUAACGAAUGGUGCUGAUUUCAAUCAGUAAAGUUGUAAUUAAGUG